rnacentral:lncRNA from 1 species
GGAUCUGAUCCGGAAUGGAGCUGGGACGCUGGAAUGGAUGAGAAAAAUGGGGCUGCUUCGACGUGUUGUGAACGCGGACAGAAGAAGUGGAUCAUGCGUGGGAGGCUUGUAUGCGGAAAACUAGGAUCACGGACUCGGAACGGACGCCGGAUGACUGCCAUGUGUCCCUCGAGUGCAAGUGUGCUCGAUGAAUGGUGGGUUCGACCAUACCAUCGCAAAGUUGAGCGUGCGCGGCCUGAGCUGUGCAUCUUUCUAGACCCAAUCUGUACUAAAUGUGCAUUGUAACUUUAAUUUAUAAUAACUUGUGCCAAACAAAAAUAUAAUAUUAAACCAGUAAAUUUAUCAUUAUCAGUCAACUAUAACACUAAUUUAGUUGAUAUGUAGAUCGUACUAUUGUGCUCUCAUCAUACCCCCCAACUAGCUUAUUGCUAGUCUCUAGCAAUUAACGAGCAAACGAUAAAAUGAGGGCACAAAAGAUGUAGUCUAACCCAUGACUUUUUAUUGAAGCUAAGUACACAAAACUAAGAUAUGUACUCAUUUUCGUAGAGCAUCACGAUUGCACUUAGCACGUGCAACAAGUUUUUAAACCCCUAAGUUA